AAUAGAUACCCAGGUAGUCCACGCCGUAAACGGUGGGCGCUAGGUGUGGGGAACAUUCCACGUUCUCCGUGCCGCAGCUAACGCAUUAAGCGCCCCGCCUGGGGAGUACGGCCGCAAGGCUAAAACUCAAAGGAAUUGACGGGGGCCCGCACAAGCGGCGGAGCAUGCGGCUUAAUUCGAUGCAACGCGAAGAACCUUACCUAGGCUUGACAGUUGGGGAAAUCUGGCAGAGAUGCCAGGUCCGCAAGGGCCCCAAAACAGGUGGUGCAUGACUGUCGUCAGCUCGUGUCGUGAGAUGUUGGGUUAAGUCCCGCAACGAGCGCAACCCUCGUCGUAUGUUGCCAGCGGAUAAUGCCGGGGACUCAUACGAGACUGCCGGGGUCAACUCGGAGGAAGGUGGGGAUGACGUCAAGUCAUCAUGCCCCUUAUGUCUAGGGCUGCACGCAUGCUACAAUGGCCGGUACAAAGGGCUGCGAUACCGUAAGGUGGAGCGAAUCCCAAAAAGCCGGUCUCAGUUCGGAUUGGGGUCUGCAACG
rnacentral:rRNA from 1 species